GACGAACGCUGGCGGCGUGCUUAACACAUGCAAGUCGAACGGAAAGGCCCUACUAUUGUGGUGUGCUCGAUUGGCGAACGGGUGAGUAACACGUGAGUAACCUGCCCUUGACUUUGGGAUAACUUCAGGAAACUGAGGCUAAUACCUUAUAGCAUCUCCUGCUGCAUGGUGGGGGUUGGAAAUUUUAGGCGGUUGGGGCUGGACUCGCGGCUUAUGAGCUUGUUGGUGGGGUAGUUGCUUACCAAGGGUUUGACGGGUAGCCGGCCGGAGAGGGUGACCGGCGACAUUGGGCCUGAGAUACGGCCCAGACUCCUACGGGAGACAGCAGUGGGGAAUAUUGUCCAAUGGGAGGAAGUCUGAGGAAGAAACCCCGCGUGCGGGAUGACGGCCUUUUGGUUGUAAACCGCUUUAGCCUGUGACGAAGCGGGAGUGACGGUACUGGGUAAAGAAGCACCGGCUAACUACGUG
rnacentral:rRNA from 1 species